GACGAACGCUGGCGGCGUGCUUAACCAUUCAAAUUGAACGGGAAGGCCCCGCUUUUGUGGGGUUCCCGAGUGGCGAACCGGUGAGGAACCACGUAGUUACCUUGCCUUUACCUUGGGGUAAACUCCGGGAACUGGGGCCAAUUCCCGAUAGGAGCUCCCUCUUCCUUGGUGGGGUUUGAAAGGUUCGGCGGUUGGGGAUGGACUCGCGGCUUAUCAGCUUGUUGGUUGGGUAGUGGCUUACCAAGGCUUUGACGGGUAGCCGGCCUGAGAGGGUGACCGGCCACAUUGGGACUGAGAUACGGCCCAGACUCCUAAGGGAGGCAGCAGUGGGGAAUAUUGCACAAUGGGCGGAAGCCUGAUGCAGCAACGCCGCGUGCGGGAUGACGGCCUUCGGGUUGUAAACCGCUUUCGCCUGUGACGAAGCGUGAGUGACGGUAAUGGGUAAAGAAGCACCGGCUAACUAUGUG
rnacentral:rRNA from 1 species